rnacentral:rRNA from 1 species
UACGUAGGGGGCUAGCGUUGUCCGGAUUUAUUGGGCGUAAAGAGCGUGUAGGCGGCCAGGUAGGUCUGCUGUGAAAACUCGAGGCUCAACCUCGAGACGUCGGCGGAAACCAUCUGGCUAGAGUCCGGAAGAGGAGAGUGGAAUUCCUGGUGUAGCGGUGAAAUGCGCAGAUAUCAGGAAGAACACCCGUGGCGAAGGCGGCUCUCUGGGACGGUACUGACGCUGAGGUGCGAAAGCGUGGGGGAGCAAACAGG